CAGUCGAAGCGGUAGAGAGAAGCUUGCUUCUCUUGAGAGCGGCGGACGGGUGAGUAAUGCCUAGGAAUCUGCCUGGUAGUGGGGGAUAACGUUCGGAAACGGACGCUAAUACCGCAUACGUCCUACGGGAGAAAGCAGGGGACCUUCGGGCCUUGCGCUAUCAGAUGAGCCUAGGUCGGAUUAGCUAGUUGGUGAGGUAAUGGCUCACCAAGGCGACGAUCCGUAGCUGGUCUGAGAGGAUGAUCAGCCACACUGGAACUGAGACACGGUCCAGACUCCUACGGGAGGCAGCAGUGGGGAAUAUUGGACAAUGGGCGCAAGCCUGAUCCAGCCAUACCGCGUGGGUGAAGAAGGCCUUCGGGUUGUAAAGCCCUUUUGUUGGGAAAGAAAAGCAUUCGGUUAAUACCCGGGUGUUCUGACGGUACCCAAAGAAUAAGCACCGGCUAACUUCGUGCCAGCAGCCGCGGUAAUA
rnacentral:rRNA from 1 species